rnacentral:tRNA from 1 species
GGCGCCAUGGCUUAGUAGUAAAGCGCCUGUCUAGUAAACAGGAAGAUCUCUGGGUUCGAUCCCCCAGUGGUGCCU